rnacentral:sRNA from 1 species
AGUUGCUCCGGCGGCGCUCGGGGAGGGAGCCAGCCUGGGGCCCAGGCCCGGGCCACCAUGGCGCUGCCUUCGGGCCCAGCCGCCCUCCGGCACACACUGCUGCUCCUGCCAGCCCUUCUGAGCUCAGGUUGUGGGGAGUUGGAGCCACAAAUAGAUGGUCAGACCUGGGCUGAGCGGGCACUUCGGGAGAAUGAACGCCACGCCUUCACCUGCCGGGUGGCAGGGGGGCCUGGCACCCCCAGAUUGGCCUGGUAUCUGGAUGGACAGCUGCAGGAGGCCAACACCUCAAGACUGCUGAGCGUGGGAGGGGAGGCCUUCUCUGGAGGCACCAGCACCUUCACAGUCACAGCCCAUCGGGCUCAGCAUGAGCUCAACUGCUCCCUGCAGGACCCCAGCAGUGGCCGAUCAGCCAACGCCUCUGUCAUCCUCAAUGUGCAAUAACUACCCCUGGCUCACCAACCAUACGGUGCAGCUGCAGCUCCGCAGCCUGGCACACAAUCUCUCGGUGGUGGCCACCAAUGACGUGGGUGUCACCAGUGCCUCGCUUCCAGCCCCAGG